GCAAGGGUGCCUAAAGAUGGGCCUGCGUCCCAUUAGGUAGUUGGUGAGGUAACGGCCCACCAAGCCGACGAUGGGUAGCUGGUCUGAGAGGAUGAUCAGCCACACUGGAACUGAGACACGGUCCAGACUCCUACGGGAGGCAGCAGUGAGGAAUAUUGCGCAAUGUCCGAAAGGGUGACGCAGCGACGCCGCGUGGAGGAUGAAGGCCCUAUGGGUCGUAAACUCCUUUUGAGGGGGAAGAAUAGUCCCAUAUACUGGGAUUUGACGGUACCUCUAGAAAAAGCACCGGCUAACUACGUGCCAGCAGCCGCGGUAAUACGCAGGGUGCGAGCGUUGUCCGGAAUCACUGGGUGUAAAGGGAGCGCAGGCGGGUUGGCAAGUCUUUGGUGAAAUCCUGAGGCUUAACCUCAGUACUGCCAAUGAUACUGCUAAUCUUGAGUACAGAAGAGGAAGACGGAAUUCCUGGUGUAGCGGUGAAAUGCGUAGAUAUCAGGAAGAACACCGGUGGCGAAGGCGGUCUUCUGGUCUGUAACUGACGCUCAUGCUCGAAAGCGUGGGGAGCAAACAGGAUUAGAU
rnacentral:rRNA from 1 species